AGGCAAGUCAGUUUUAUUUAUUUAUAAUUAUUGGAGAAAAAUCAGUAUUGCAUAGAAGUAUACAAACAGACAAUGAUAACAUAUGCUAGGGGGUACAACAAAUGACAGAUUAUACAAAGACCUUAAACGAUGCACACUUGUUGAUUGUUUUAACAGCUUUCUUAUUAGAAGGAUGUAGGAUAGUCUUAAUGUACUGCUCAAAUUCCUUAUAGAAAACACAGUGGUUUUUUUAUUAGUAAAUUUACAUUCAUGAAUAUGACAUUUUUCCAUUAACACAAUUAGAUGUAUAAGGUAAAAUUGUUUUUCUUUAUCUUUACUAUGGUUAAGGAGACCGAGCAGCACAUUCUCCCAUGAAAAUACAAAAAAGUCAUCAAGAAUAUUAACAAUUAUAAAACUAUGAAUAUCUUUCCAUAAUUGUUUUACAUGUAGACAAUGCCAAAAUAAAUGUGAAACUGUUUCUGGAUGCUCAACACAAAAAGUAGGUGUAUAUAAAAUUAUAUUUGUUUGUGGAUGAAUUUACUGCUACCGGAUGAAGACUAUUGCACUGCGAAUUUGAGCAUUGAAGAUCCAUUCAAAAACGUUUUCAAAAACGUUUAAAAAACUACAAGGGUGAGGGGGUAGUCACUUCCUGCUUACUUUCAUAGCACAUUUCAUUUAAUCAUUUUCGUCUCUUUCAUUUCAUUGUUGUAAAGAAUGAAUUUUAAAUUCACUUUAAAUAAAGUUAGAUUAAAUUUGAUUUGAUUUCCUCCAGGACUACAUGACAGAGAAGCUAUGGUUCCCUCUCCACCAGGGCUGUGUACCAGUCUACCGCAGCUCCUCGUCAGUAGCCGACUGGAUGCGCAUCCACCGCACUGUCAUCCUUAUCAAUGACUUCCCAUCACCUCAGGACGUAGCCAAGUUCCCCAAGCCGCUGGAUGAGAACGAUGAAGAGUACGCUAAGUAUUUAGUUUAAGAAGCCGAGCCAAGUUACCAACGUUGGCCUGAUGGAGGCACUGGAGAGCAGGGAGUAAAGAGUACGCUAAGUAUUUAGUUUAAGAAGCCGAGCCAAGUUACCAACGUUGGCCUGAUGGAGGCUCUGGAGAGCAGGGAGUGGGGCGUGAACGACAUGAGCAAACCCAGGGUAGCCUAGUGGUUAGAGCGUUGGACUAGUAACCGAAAGGUUGCAAGUUCAAAUCCCCAAGCUGACAAGGUACAAAUAUGUCAUUCUGCCCCUGAACAGGCAGUUAACCUACUGUUUCUAGGCCGUCAUUGAAAAUAAGAAUUUGUUCUUAACUGACUUGCCUAGGAAAAUAAAGGUUAAUUUUUUUUAAUUACCUCAACGGCUUUGAGAGCUAUGUCUGUGACCAGGAGAAUACCAGACUGGAAGCUGAACGGGCCUAUAGGAAAGCACCAGAGAAGAGCCCGCCCCCCCCAGCCUAAGCUGGCCAAUAAUUCUCAUAGGGGAUGUCCUCUACCCAGUCCAGGAUUUUGAGACCGUCAGGACCGACACACCAAUGACAGCUUGGUCCAGAUGUGGCCACAGGACUACAGGCAGAGUCUAGGUCAGGCUGAAGGAUUGGAGUCCCCAAUCAUACAUAACGAGUCAGACCCUGCACUGCUCUGACAUCACAUCCAGGAUUUGGCUAUGAGGAGGGCCAAAGGAGGACAGGCAUAACUAGUCGAACCCUGCACUGCUGAGGAACCACAUACAGGAUGAGAGCCAGAAGUAACUGAGAAAGUCCCUUAUUGACAGUAUUUUUUGACAGAAAGAGGACAAGGAAGGAAAGACACGUACAGUUGAAGUUUUUCACAAAUCUUGACAUUUAAUCCUAAUAAAAAUUCCCUAUCAGUUAGAAUCACCACUUUAUUUUAAGAAUGUGAAAUGUCAGAAUAAUAGUAGAGAUAAUGAUUUAUUUCAGCUUUUAUGUAUUUCAUCACAUUCCCAGUGGGUCAGAAGUUUACAUAAACUCAAUUAGUAGUUGGUAGCAUUAACUUUGGAAGUAUGCUUGGGGUCAUUUUCCAUUUGGAAGACCCAUUUUCGACCAAGCUUUAACUUACUGAUGUCUUGAGAUGUUGCUUCAAUAUAUCUACCAAAUUUCCCUUCCUCAUGAUGCCAUCAAUUUUGUGAAGUGCACCAGUCCCUCCUGCAGCAAAGCACCCCCACAACAUGAUGCUGCCACCCCUGUGCUUCAAGGUUGGGAUGGUGUUCUUCGGCUUGCAAGCCUCCCACUUUUUCCUCCAAACAUAUCGAUGGUCAUUAUGGCCAAACAGUUCUAUUUUUGUUUCAUCAGACCAGAGAAUAUUUCUCCAAAAAGUACAUUCUUUGUCCCCAUGUGCAGUUGCAAACCGUAGUCUGGCUUUUUUAUGCCGGUUUUGGAGCAGUGGCUUCUUCCUUGCUGAACGGCCUUUCAGGUUAUGUCAAUAUAGGACUCGUUUUACUGUGGAUAUAGAUACUUUUGUACCUGGUUCCUCCAGCAUCUUCACAAGGUCCUUUGCUGUUGUUCUGGGAUUGAUUUGCACCAAAGUACAUUAAUCUCUAGGAGACAGAAUGCAUCUCCUUCCUGAGUGGUAUGGCGGCUGCGUGGUCCCAUGGUGUUUAUACUUGCGUACUAUUGUUUGUACAGCUGAACAUGGUACCUUCAGGAAUUUGGAAAUUGCUCCCAAGGAUGAACCAGACUUGUGGAGGUCUACAAUUUAUUUUCUGAGGUCUUGGCUGAUUUCUUUUGCUUUUCCUGUGAUGUCAAGCAAAGAGGCACUGAGUUUGAAGGUAGGCCUUAAAAUACAUCCACAGGUACACCUCCAAUUAACUCAAAUUAUGUCAAUUAGCCUAUCAGAAGCUUCUAAAGCCAUGACAUAAUUUUCUGGAAUUUUCCAAGCUGUUUAAAGGCACAGUCAACUUAGUUUAUCUAAACUUCUGACCCACUGGAAUUGUGAUACAGUGAAAUACAAGUGAAACAAUCUGUCUGUAAACAAUUGUUGGAAAAAUUAUUUGUGUCAUGCACAAAGUAGAUGUCCUAACUGACUUGCCAAAACUAUAGUUUGUUAACAAGAAAUGUGUGGAGUCAUUGAAAAAUGAGUUUUAAUGACUCCAACCUAAGUGUAUGUAAACUUUCGACUUCAACUGUAUUUGGACAUGUCAAGAGACUUGCACCCCAAAACCAGUAAUGCUUGGAGAAUCUACCACAAUGUUAAUGAACUGUUACUGAACUAGAGAAGAUCAACUGUUACUGAACUAGAGAAUAUCAACUGUUACUGAACUAGAGAAUAUCAACUGUUAC
ensembl:lncRNA